rnacentral:rRNA from 1 species
AUGAGCACCGAUUCUGAUGGGUGGCGCGAGCAGAUGAUUGCUCUUAUCGGUAAGGCUCCUACCGAGGAGGAGGGAGAAGAGCCGAAGAAGAAGGAAAGGAAAGCAGCCGGAGCUGCUUUCACGUGGAUUCAAGCAAACUUUGCGCAUUGCCCUGCGGAUGCCACUGAUGAUGUGAUACAGACACAUGCUCGUGUCUAUAUGUGGUACGUUGUCUCAAGGACUUUGUUUCCUGACUCCACGGGCAAGAACGCUCCAUGGAUGUGGCUGAAGGCGUUGACCGUCUUCGAUAGCAAAUGGAGCUGGGGUUCAGUGACUCUUGUGUACUUGUACCGACAGGUAGUUGGUUUGUUUUGUUAUCAACUCAUUUGUUCAUUACCAAUGCAACCUUGCUGUCAAAUUAACAUUGUUUUCCUUUCAUAUGCAGCUGGACGAUGCGUGUUGCAGGAUCACAGAUAG